ACCCGCUGAACUUAAGCAUAUCAAUAAGCGGAGGAAAAGAAACUAACAAGGAUUCCCUCAGUAACGGCGAGUGAAGAGGGAAAAGCUCAGUUUUGGAAUCUGGCAGYGAUUCACUGUCCGAGUUGUAAAUUGAAGAGAGUGUCAUCCAUGCUGGACCACGUCUAAAUUGUAAUGAUCCACAGUCCUUUGAUGGAGUAUCAGAGAGGGUAAUAAUCCCGUCUUUGGCGUGGAUCUCCCAGUGUUUCUGUGAUGCACUCUCUCAGAGUCGAGUAGUUUGGGAAUGCUGCUCUAAUGGGAGGUAGACUCCUUCUAAAGCUAAAUAUUGGCGAGAGACCGAUAGCGAACAAGYACCGUGAGGGAAAGAUGAAAAGAACUCUGAAAAGAGAGUCAAAUAGAACGUGAAAUUGCUGAAAGGGAAGCGUUUGGAGUCAGCCGCAUCUUCAUGGAAUACCCACUCAAGAGUAGGCAGAGGCUGAGAGGAGUAACUUGAAGAUGGGCCAGUCCUCACAAAAGGCCAUUGAAGAAGGGGUCAUGAAAUGUAGCUCAGUUCUGAGUGAUUAUAGUCAUGAUUCAGAAGCAAUGUGUGUCUGUGAGUUGAACAGCACGAGUGCACCGACUCUGUGCUUUGAUUUUGACUGGCAUAAUGGCUCUAAGCGACCCGUCUUGAAACACGGACCAAGGAGUCUAACAUGUAUGCGAGUAUUAGAGUGAUUGAAACUCUGAAUGCGCAAUGAAAGUGCUUUGACUGAGAAUCUCUUUAAGGGGGAGAGAGGCGUCAGUACCCCGAGUCUGUUAGUCUUUGACUGAGGAUUUGGAGGCAGAGCAUACAUGUUGGGACCCGAAAGAUGGUGAACUAUGCCUGAAUAGGGUGAAGUCAGAGGAAACUCUGAUGGAGGCCCGUAGCGAUUCUGACGUGCAAAUCGAUCGUAGAAUUUGGGUAUAGGGGCGAAAGACUAAUCGAACCAUCUAGUAGCUGGUUCCUGCCGAAGUUUCCCUCAGGA
rnacentral:rRNA from 1 species